ensembl:lncRNA
UCUAUUUGGCUUUAUUUCUAUUAGAGUACUAAUCUGUAAAUAUUUUUAAUUUUUUUUCUCUUCAUUCUUCAUUUCCAUAAGUGUACAUGUACUUUCAUUUUCAACUCUAAGAAAUUCACAUUUACACAAUGCAUUGUACAUUAUAACAUAAGUACAGUUAACAUUCACCAUUUCUUAAUGUGUAGGAUGGAAUGGCAGGGGAAAGAGUUCUUGAAAAUGCUUCCCUUUUUCCCUUUUAUUCUGUACACACCUGACCUCUCACCCCUGACCCCUGUAACUGCAGACAUCAUAAUGCACACCUGACCUCUCACCCCUGACCCCUGUAACUGCAGACAUCAUAAUGCACGCCGUUCACAUCCUGUUGUCAGAUAUCUCCAUAUAUAUCCUUCUUCCUCAGAGCAUCACUCUCAUAUACAGCAUGGUAAACUAAAUGAAGUCAUUGGAUCAUACAGAGGAUUCAGUGCAUGGGGGGAGGUGAGUAGCAAAAGUGGACACUGCCAAACAGUCUGUCUGUCUGAGAAGCUGCACGUUAUUAUCAUGUGGUGUCCUCCGGACGCGGACUGGUUUGGGUCGUACGUUACACGGCGGUUUUACUGUGAGGCUGUGAGUCAAACGAAGUGGUGAUGAUGUCACAAAGAAGAGGAGGAGUUGACCUAUGACCUGGAUAGUUUCCCAUGAGGGACACGUGUUAACACACCCGUAGUGCUAGCGCUUCAUGCUAGCACCGCUCAAUGUUAGACAUACGAUGCCAGUGUGAAAUACAUAAACACACACAGAGAACAUAAAAUACAUAAAGACACGCAGGAACAUGGAACAAGUGACAACAUCCGAUAAGGCAAAAAACUCAAAUGAAAGCUUAACAUCUCUACACAUGGGAUCUCAGACACUUGACAUAGUCCACAGGCACUUUCAGGUGCUGGGCACUCGUUGAGUGUACAUAUUUCAUCUAGUAAGUGCUAAAACAUCAAGCCACCUCUUUAGAAAAUACUGCGCUCAAAAGGUAAUGCUAUUCUGGUUACAAAUAAAAAUGCAAUACAAUAAAAUAAAUGCAAUAAACCCACCCCCACCACCCAUCCCUUAAAAAAAGGAAAAAGAUAGAAAGCUGGAAAUGAAAGCAGAUAUUUGAUCAGAUCUAGCAGGUAGCAGAAGUAUUUGCAAAUGUGUGUUGAGAGUUGUGUUACUGUUUCUCAAUCCAUAUGUGCGCAAUCAGAUUUGUAAAUGUGUAAGAGAAUCUCUAAAUGCGUACUGAGUUUAGCGAAUGUGUACAAGAAUCUGCAAAUGUGUAUUCGGAAUCUGUGUGUGUAAUGUCAACACACACACACUCUCCACACACAUUUGCAAAUAAUUCUGCUCCAAAAAUCCCCCCGUCUAAUAGUUUGCAUAUUGAUGUUGUGUGUGUGUGUUUACUUGUUUUCAGAUGUGUACAGUCUUCCCAUCUUUUUUAAGUUUUCUCUGUUCCAGUCCUCUGACAGUUGAGGAAAUGCCUGGCAAAAUAUUUUGUCAUUUGGACUCUGAGAACUCAAAUUUUGUCUUGUGCGUGCAUGUGUGUGUGUGUUUGUCACAUUUGGCAGCAGACUCUCAGCAGAAUAAAUGCUUCAUCUCAUCUUCAUGUUUACUGUUGACUGGUGUAUUGUUUACUGUUGACUGGUGUAUUGUUUACUGUGCCUCUGCUCCCAUAUGUGUUUACGAUAGAGGAGGGGUUCCAGUGGACGACUCACGGGGAGAGCCAAGUUUCUGUUAUACGCUGAUAACGCUUGCCUUUCUCUACAGGUGAAGCUGUCAAUGAAUGGAGGAGUCAUGGUGAGUGGUCUGACCUGAAUGACCCCCCACACCACUUCUUUAACCCUCUUUCAUCUUCUUUCUUCUCCCCCCAGUUCUCUCCUUCCUCCUCUCUCUAGCUCCUCUUCUCUUGACCUUUCCCUUGCGCUCAGUCUCGUACCCUCAUUAUUUCUGCCAUAUUCCACCCAUGCCUCGAUUUCUGUGUGUGUGUGUGUGUGUGUGUGUGUGUGUGCGUGUGUGUGUGUGUGUGUGUGUGUGUGCGUGUGUGUGUGUGCGUGUGUGUGUGUCUCUGUGUGUGUGUGUGUGUGUGUGUGUGUGUGUGUGUGUGUGUGUGUGUGUGUGUGUGUGUGUGUGUGUGUGUGUGUGGGUGUGUGUGUGGUGUGAGGGGCUGAACUGAUCCAUUAGUGGAUGGUGAGGUUGGUAAAUGGAGGAGAGAGAUGAUGAUGAUGACGAUGACGGUGAUGGUGAGAGCAUAGCGACCCACACAAACAGUGCAUGGUGGGCUGAGUGCAAGGAGCUGAUUCACCUUUGACCCUUUUUAAUCAGUGUGUAU